AUUCUACUCAUUGUAUUCUUCAAUCCUCAGAUGUCAACUCAGGAAGGAGCUGAGAGAGAUGGGAUUGGGUACAAGAACUGAAUCUCCAGGUUUACCUUUUGUUUGGAAAUUGACCUUCUAGAUUGGAAUGCAGUGAUUAAGAAAGAGGAGCAUUGAUGAAAUGAAUUAGCUGUGCAAACCCGAUGACCUGAUGACCCGAGUUUGAUUCCAGGAAUCCACAGUGGAAAGAGAGAAUUAACUCGCUCACAAGCUUUUCCUUUAACCUCCACAUGUGAGCAAUAGACCAUGCACACUGAAAAGCUCUUAAACACACAUUUUACACUUGGAUACACGCUCAACAAAUAAAUUUUUUUUUAAAACUUAAAA